rnacentral:tRNA from 2 species
GUAAAUAUAAUUUAAUCGGUUAAAAUGAGUCAUUGUGGAUGACUAAAUCUGAGUUCAAGUCUCAGUAUUUACC